rnacentral:lncRNA from 1 species
UGCAUACGGAAAACGUGCCCUUUUGGCAGUGGCUACGGCUGCAUGCCCUUCAGGGAAUGUCCUCUAAAGUGCCUUACAUGUUAUAGUGGCUGCAAGUUCCCGUCUGUCUGCUGCAAUCUGAGGAAAAUGAAUGACUGCUCAUUGGCUGGAGGAACCUGCAAGCGUGUCUGCUCAUUGGAAAAUACCCGAGCCAGGUGCCCCCGACCCUUGAAGUGCUGCGUCUAUGUGACUCGCUGAGAAGACACUGUUAUAACUUGCAAACAUGCUGAUCGAAGCCUUGUUUUUAAAGAAACGUGCACAAGACAC